rnacentral:rRNA from 1 species
UACGGGGGGAGCAAGCGUUGUUCGGAUUUACUGGGCGUAAAGGGCGCGUAGGCGGCCAGCGCAAGUCAGUUGUGAAAUCUCCGGGCUUAACUCGGAACGGUCAACUGAUACUGCGCGGCUAGAGUGCGGAAGGGGCAACUGGAAUUCUCGGUGUAGCGGUGAAAUGCGUAGAUAUCGAGAGGAACACCUGCGGCGAAGGCGGGUUGCUGGGCUGACACUGACGCUGAUGCGCGAAAGCCAGGGGAGCGAACGGG